CCUACGGGAGGCAGCAGUGGGGAAUAUUGGACAAUGGGCGAAAGCCUGAUCCAGCCAUGCCGCGUGUGUGAAGAAGGCCUUCGGGUUGUAAAGCACUUUCAGUGGGGAAGAAAGCCUUGGGGCUAAUACCCUCGAGGAAGGACAUCACCCACAGAAGAAGCACCGGCUAACUCCGUGCCAGCAGCCGCGGUAAUACGGAGGGUGCGAGCGUUAAUCGGAAUUACUGGGCGUAAAGCGCGCGUAGGCGGUCUGAUAAGCCGGUUGUGAAAGCCCCGGGCUCAACCUGGGAACGGCAUCCGGAACUGUCAGGCUAGAGUGCAGGAGAGGAAGGUAGAAUUCCCGGUGUAGCGGUGAAAUGCGUAGAGAUCGGGAGGAAUACCAGUGGCGAAGGCGGCCUUCUGGACUGACACUGACGCUGAGGUGCGAAAGCGUGGGUAGCAAACAGGAUUAAUACCCUGGAGUC
rnacentral:rRNA from 1 species